rnacentral:rRNA from 1 species
GAUGAACGCUAGCGGGAGGCCUAACACAUGCAAGCCGAGCGGUAGAGAUUCUUCGGAAUCUUGAGAGCGGCGUACGGGUGCGGAACACGUGUGCAACCUACCUUUAUCUGGAGGAUAGCCUUUCGAAAGGAAGAUUAAUACUCCAUAAUAUAUUGAUUGGCAUCGAUUGAUAUUGAAAGCUCCGGCGGAUAGAGAUGGGCACGCGCAAGAUUAGCUAGUUGGUGAGGUAACGGCUCACCAAGGCGAUGAUCUUAGGGGCCUGAGAGGGUGAUCCCCACACUGGUACUGAGACACGGACCAGACUCCUACGGGAGGCAGCAGUGAGGAAUAUUGGUCAAUGGGUGCAAGCCUGAACCAGCCAUCCCGCGUGAAGGUCGACUGCCCUAUGGGUUGUAAACUUCUUUUGUAUAGGGAUAAACCUACCCUCGUGAGGGUAGCUGAAGGUACUAUACGAAUAAG